CGGACGUGUCAGUGAGUUGUAUCCAGUUAGUGGUUGCAGGGUUUCCAUUAAAGGCACGUAAAUACUGUUUGAAUCCAGAGUCUUUAUUACAAGACACGACAUGGUGUCAGAAGUGCUGUAGUUUAACGUGUUAGCAGCUUUAGUUAGUUCAUAAAAGCCCGGAUACGUGGGGAAGAAAAGCUUGAGCUGAAAUGGACGGCGGAGAUAAUGUGGUCGCUGCGCCGAGAGCAGCAGGACCGAGUGCUACAUUCAGCAUACGGCCGCCUGAGCCUUUCGACUUUUCUAAACCACAGGAAUGGGCGAAAUGGAUCCGAAGGUUCGAACGAUUUCGAUUGGCGAGCAACUUACAUGAAAACUCGGAUGAAAACCAGGUGAAUACUUUCAUUUACUGCAUGGGAGAUGAGGUUGAUGAUAUUCUCCGGGAAUUACCGCUGGCAGACACGGACAAAACAAAGUAUAGUGCAGUAAAAGCAGGCUUUGAAGCACACUUCGUGGGAAAGAGAAAUGUGAUUUAUGGACGUGCUCGGUUCAAUAUGCGCAAACAGGAGGAAAACGAGACUGUGGAUUCAUUUGUGACAGCUUUGUAUGCUCUGGCGGAACAUUGCAAUUAUUCAGCAUUACAUGACGAGCUGAUUAGGGACAGACUCAUUGUGGGGUUGGCGGACAGACGACUUUCUGAACGGAUGCAGCUGGAUUAUGAGCUGACGCUGGAUAAAGCAAUUGCAAUGGCAAGACAAAGCGAGGAGGUGAAACGACAGCAAGCAGCACUUAGAAGCGCAUCGGACUGUGGCUGCUGACGCUAGCUCUGUUGAUAGAGUGUUCAAAGGAAAGCGUGAUGUAGCUAGACCCCAGAAAGGGAACAACCCUAAUCUGAAGCCUCAUGCAUUACUUUCCGGCAAAAUGAAUAGCAUCCAGUGUCAUAAGUGUGGUAGCUCAUGCAAAGCGAGAUUGUCCAGCAAAUGAUGUUAAAUGUCACUCCUGCGGGAGGAAAGGCCAUUAUAAGCGAGUGUGUGCAUCAUCAAAAGCUGUGCGUGCCGUGAAGUGUGUGAGGGUGACCCCAUAUUUCUGGGCAGCAUCGCAGGUCCUGGCGAACCAUGGAUGGUAGACAUAGACAUUGGUCACAAACGAGUGUAAUUUAAGAUUGAUACAGGGGCUGAUGUCACCAUCAUUCCGGCAGAAAUGUUCAGAGAGAUUUUUAAGGAAAAAUUACCUACCCUAGGGUAUUCGACGAGGCCGUUGCUUGGGCCAGGGCAAGUUCCUUUGGAUGUAGUUCACUGUAAAACUUUACUGUAAAUUUACAGGCAUUUACUAACAGUAUUAUACUGUAUUUUUAUAAAACAGUAAAAUGCUGUAUAUUUUACAGAAUGUCUGUAAAUAUACAGCAGUUUUCUGUUUUCAGCCUGCUAAAUUUGUAAUACAGUAUCAUACUGUAAAUGCAUUGCAUUGUGGGACAGAUUUAUUUUACGGGCUCAAUUCAAAUGUGAUGUGAUGUGAACAGUGUACUACAGGCAAACUAGAUUCGUCAGCGGGAUUUAAUUGAAUAGAAUAAUUAUUGGCCUUAUUAAGAUAAGCCAGUGGUUUGUGAAUCUGUGAGUAGUUUUUAAACUUUGUGAGCUUCAUUUCGUGUUUCAAGCGUUAGCUGCCUGUGACGCAGCAAACAAUGGAUGACGCUGCGUGAGCAGACGCGAAGAUAAUCUGUCAUCUGAAUCAUCAAACCUGUGACUGAGACGAUGAUAAAUGGACUUUGGAGCAUGAGAAGAUGGAUUAUUGUUCGUCUGAAAAUCGAUACGGCUGAACAAUGUGAUGAAGAUCCGGUGCUAAUUAUUCCUGAUUGCUUCCAUGUCUUCCAUGGUCCUACAGCUGCUCCCACACUUGCAGAAAUUAGAUGGUUUUACCCUUCAAGCAGGUGUAUUCUCCACUCCAUCUGAUGUCCAGCAGUCUCUACAUUUGCCAGAGAACACAACUUAUAAUUCUUGGUUGCAUUGGCUACCAAUAGCCGCUUGCAUCAAAUUCAAGGUACUGAUGUUUGCCUACAAGACGACAACUAGCACUGCACCAAUAUAUCUAAACUCACUAGUUCAAACUUAUGCACCCACCAGAAGCUUGCGUUCUGCAAGUGAACGAUGCCUUGUGGUGCCAUCACAAAGAGGUACCAAAUCCCUCUCACGGACCUUUUCCUGGACUGUGCCCAUCUGGUGGAAUGACCUCCCGAUCUCAAUUCGUGAAGCUGAGUCUUUAGCCAUUUUCAAAAAUCAUCUAAAGACACAUCUUUUUCGCCAGCACCUGACUAACUAAUACUAACACUAACACUUACCUAUUAUGUCUGUCUGUCUUAAUAAAAAAAAAAAUUAAAAAAACUAGCUAUGUCUACUGUGCUGGACUAACUGAGACUUGUCAUGGCACUUGUAUACUACUGCACUCUUGAUGGUCUGAUUGCUUCUAUUGUUCUCAUUUGUACGUCGCUUUGGAUAAAAGCGUCUGCUAAAUGAUUAAAUGUAAAUGUAAGUGUAAGACGUACCUGCUUGUGGUGGACUACUACUCCAGAUAUGUGGAGAUAGCUCAGUUAACACCUACCAGGUCUACCGACGUCAUUGUUCACAUGAAGUCCACAUUCGCGCGUCAUGGAGUCCCAGAGACACUGGUUAAUGACAAUGGGCCACAAUUCUCUGGGUACUCAUUUGCAUCCUUUGCAGCUUCAUAUGGAUUUGUUCGUGUAACUAGUAGCCCAAGAUUUCCCCAAAGCAACGGUGAGGCCGAAUGGGCGGUUAAGACGGUGAAGGCUCUUCUCAAGAAAGCUAAUGAUCCAUACCUUGCUCUUUUGGCUUAUAGAGCUACCCCCUUACAGAAUGGGUACAGUCCGGCUCAACUUCUAAUGGGUAGGAGGCUCCUAACGACUGUGCCUACACUGCCAUCAUUGCUCAAUCUGGUACUCCCUGAUACCAUGGCUGUUUCUUCAAAAUAGAAGGAAAGGAGGGAUGCAGAUGCAGAGCAUUUCAAUAGGAGUCACAGAGCCAGAAAACUCAGCAUUCUGCAGCCAGGAGAUCAAGUCUGGAUAUCUGAUGCUAAAGAGUCUGGGACAGUUGUUGCCAGUCACUCUGCUCCGAGGUCGUACCUUGUGGACACGCAGCAGGGCACUGUGAGACUUAACUGUCACCAUCUGGUACAAAUGCAAGCAGAAGCUAUGGAGGACAACAGCGGAACACCUGAUCAGCUUUCUGUUGCAACCUCUGAGUCACUCCCUAUCACUCAGGUGUCAGAGAAGCAAGACAUUCCAGACUUGAUAUCCACCCCUAGAACCAAGUAUGGGAGGCGAAUAGUGAAAACAGUAAGACUGAAUCUGUGAACUGUGUGGUGUGGGUACAGGUUCCCUACCACUUAAUGUAAAUAUUUGAGGACGAAUGUUCAAGAUGCAAACACCAAUGUUGAAACUACCUGUUUGUUCAAGGAGUUGGAUAGGAGCAGAUCUUCCAGCAAAAGAGGCAGAAUAAUCCUCUAAGAUCUGUUGAGACAAAGGUAGUCUACCCUUUGUUCUCUAGAAAGGGGAGAUGUUGGGUUAUUGAUGUGUAACUAUAGACUGCCACUAGAGGGAGUGAGAGCGACAUGGACGUGUCAGUGAGUUGUAUCCAGUUAUGUGGUUGCAGGGUUUCCAUUAAAGGCACGUAAAUACAAUUCGAAUCCAGAGUCUUUAUUUACAAGACAGGACAAUAGUGACUUAAUAUAGCACUUUUAGCUUGUCAUGUGUGAUCAGGGUGAGCUGAC